rnacentral:rRNA from 1 species
UGGGGAAUAUUGCACAAUGGGCGCAAGCCUGAUGCAGCCAUGCCGCGUGUAUGAAGAAGGCCUUCGGGUUGUAAAGUACUUUCAGUCGGGAGGAAGGUGGUAAGGUUAAUAACCUUGGCAAUUGACGUUACCGACAGAAGAAGCACCGGCUAACUCCGUGCCAGCAGCCGCGGUAAUACGGAGGGUGCAAGCGUUAAUCGGAAUUACUGGGCGUAAAGCGCACGCAGGCGGUUGAUUGAGUCAGAUGUGAAAUCCCCGGGCUUAACCCGGGAAUUGCAUCUGAUACUGGUCAGCUAGAGUCUUGUAGAGGGGGGUAGAAUUCCAGGUGUAGCGGUGAAAUGCGUAGAGAUCUGGAGGAAUACCGGUGGCGAAGGCGGCCCCCUGGACGAAGACUGACGCUCAGGUGCGAAAGCGUGGGGAGCAAACAGG